UUUAUUUUUUGGUUGUGGUUUUCUUUUCUCAAUUCGUUUUCACUUUUCUCAUACUCACAAUUCUUAACUGCAACACCAAUCUGCACCGUGAAUAUCGUUCUUAUUGAGGUCAAUUGCAAGACCAAUUUCAGCACUUGGUUAGUGAUUUGGGAAAUGUAAUUGGGUUGCCGCUACAAAGCGUGUAAAGAUCUUGCGGUAAUUCAGUGAAUCCACUGAAAGUAUAGCUGUCUUAGCGCCUGCAAUAAACAACUGCAUCAGUUGUGGUAUCAGUCAGUAGUGCUGCAUCACAUAAUUUUCCUGUUAGAUCAAUUUGAGGGCAUAGCUAAGAUAGGCGUGGUGGUGUGUGGUUUUGGAGUUUUGAGAUUGUGGAAAUGUGAGGUUUGAAGAUUGGAGUAGAAGAAGCUCUUUGAUGAGGAAUGUAAAUGAGAUAACCAACAUGAAUGUCCUUAUAUGUGGAUUAACUUGCAUGCAGUACAAGUUCUAUGUUGAUGGAAAAUGGGGAUAUGAUGAAUCUGAACAUCAUGUGACUAGUGAUUAUGGGAUUGUGAACACACCACAUCUAUCUACGGAUGACAUGGAUGUUGAUAAUGAUGCCUUUUCGGCAUGUGGCUUGACUUGAGGAGUUGUUUGAACUUGAGUGUUCUUAAUACCCAACCAAGCUUUGCUCAUUUGAAACCUAUGAGCCUAUGAAGCAAGUUUUUAUUUGGCUAAGCAUUCUUUGUAGGUGGUGAGUUUUGAUUUUUUUUGAAGAGCCGUGUGUUUGGCUUGAGCACAGUCAAAAUAUCGCAUGCCUUGGGUUAUAGAUGAUGUCGAGGGGAGAUAUAUUUCAUUGCAACAAAGUUUUAGCUUGGUUGCAUAUCUUCAUGAGGAAUUUGUUAUCAUUUGAUUAGUAUUUGAGUGAAUACAUUCGAACUUAUAUUAUGUAUAUGAUAUUGAACUUGGGUAUUAUUUUCCCUUAUUAGUAGUUAUUGAUUGAGCAGUUGUUAUGCUUAUAUGAGUAUUUGUGAUUGAAAAUU